GAUGUCCAAAAACUCAUUGCUGACACCACAAAAGUCAAACUAUCUCUUGAACCCAUGACCUUUUUGCUACUGGACGUCCCUAGGGAAGUACCCAAACAGUCGAGGAAACUAAUAUACCAUAUACUGCUGACCGCACAAAAACUAAUAGCUAGAUCCUGGAAAACAAAUGGGGCCCCCCAUAUCCCAAACCUUAUUCAGGAUAUAGAUAACCAGGCAAUUUAUGAAACAAGUUUUUCCGGGACGCGUUCUGGAUCA